UUUUUUUUUUUUUUUUUUUUUUUUUUUUUACGUCUCUUGCUGUGAUUUUGUUCUGUUCUUUCAUCUGGGACAUAUUCCUCUGUCUUCUCAUUUUAUCUAGGUCUCUGUGUCUGUUUCUCUGUGUUAGAAAAAAUCAGUUGCCUCCUGCUCUUUAAAGUAAUGGUCUUAUGAAGAAGAGGUCCUCUUGUGCCCUGCAGUGCAAUGUCCUCUGUUGCCCAGAAUCUGGUGCUUCAGGGCUGUCUCCUAUGUGUAUUGCACGUACCCUACUAUUGGGGCUGAGCUGCUUUCAUCUUCAGCCCAGUCCUCUGUAAUGGCUCUCUUUGCUGAUGUCAUUAAUGGGCCAGUCUGGGGCCAUGUUGGGUUUGAGUUGAGUCAGACCAGGUGUUUACCAGACGUGUAGUAGCACUGAACUGCAAGGUACUUUCCCUCUGUUGCUCCCUGAGAAACUUUCACUGGGAGGCAGGGUCUGCAGUCAUACCAGAUGUCUGCCCUCAGCCCAUUGGUGGGGCCUCAGUCAGACCUAUGUGUGUGGUUAUCUUUUCUUCCUCCUGGUAUAGGAGUCACUUUGGAGUUGUGCUGGCCCCUGUUGGGACUACUUACACACUUUCAGGCUUGGGGCCUGUUUUUUGGAUAGGUUUUGGCCAAAUGCAUAUUGGAAGGGGCAGGUCUGUACAGAAACCUGGGGCUGGGGCCUAUGGUGCCAGCAAGGUCUGGGCUGGUGGGAGGGAAACUGCUAGGGGCUGAGGCAGGUCAGGUUGGAGGGGGUAGAUCUACAGAAGCUAUGUGGGGGUAGGAUGUGUGGUGUUAGGAAAGUUUGCGUGGGUCUGCCGUGGGAGGGGACCUGGAUCAGAGGCCUAGCUGGAGAGGCAUGUCUGUAGGAGAAUGUGGGCAUUGGUGUGCUAUUGUCAAAUUAGGUAGCAAGUAUAAGUGCUGACUAGUUCCUGCUGGUGUCUGUGUGUAAUGCUGGGGGGUAGGGAAGGGAAAUGGCUCCCACCAGCUCCUUUGUGCCUGGAGAAAUCAUAUAACCAAAUCCCUGCCCCUCCAGCACAUGCUCUGAGAUUAGCAAGCAAAUCUCCAUUCUUCUACCCCAGGCAUUUUUCAAAUUGCUGCCUCUAUGCUGUAUCUCUGUAGGGCUCUUUGUUGUACUGAUUUUUAAAGUUCCUGGUGUUAAGUCCUGCUGAUUGUAAGAACUCUUGAAGUUCUGGCCCCUCUGGUUUUCAAAGCUAAAUGUUUUGGGGUUUGUGCCUGGGGUGUCUGGAUGUCUGUUUCUUUCUCUUCCCCACCCUGGCAUCUCUCCCUCCCUCAGACAGUCCUGUGGGGCCAUUUAGCUCCCAACAAUGCCUCCACCCUUCCUACCCUUGGAUGUGGCCUCUUCUCUACAUUUAGCUGUGGAGAGUUUGUUCUGCCAGUGUUUGUGUUGUUCUCUGGAUUAUUUAUACUGAUGUGAGUGUUAUCUAGUUGUAUCUGUGGGACAAAGUAAGCUUAGGAUCCUCUUAUUCCGCAUCUUACUCAGAAUCUAGAACAGUUAAUUUUGUAUAUGACUGUCUCCCCAUAUAGAUCCUAAAUUCAUUGAGGUUGGAAAUUGUUGAUUUUCAUCUUUCUGUAGGAUGGAUACGAACCUAAUAAGCACAAAUGAUUUAGGGAUAUGUGUGGCAAUGAGUCCUCAUACAUGCACACUAGUGAAGAGGGCUUUACCACUGAGGAGUAUCCUGGCUAUACCAAAACUAACACUCACACAAAUGAAGAACCAGAGAGACAUGAAAGUCAUUUGGGGUUAGAGACAGAAAAGUCACCUAUGUGGUUUAAAAUCUUUUAUUGAUUUCAGCAUAAAUUUCUAACUUCUU
rnacentral:lncRNA from 1 species